GGCUGACGGGACGUGUAGUCCCGGCCCUCAGGAGUAAAGAGCGCUCCUGCCCGCCUCAUCCCACUCCUUAAUGAUAUUUACUACUUAUUUAUUAAUUCUUCAUGUGCCCUGUUCAUUUUGGAGACACAUAUAAUUAUUCUUAGCUUAUCCAUCCUUGAGGUAAAAAGGUCCAGUGAAUGGGAAUGGAAAGCCAACAAACCAGAAUCUGAAAGCAGCCAAGUAGGGCGACCGCAUCCCACAGAUGUCCGGCAUGGAGAACCCGGGAGCUGCAGGACACGGCAGAGCCUCCCCGAGGUCAGCAGGAUGAGAAUAUCUGUGCAAAGAAGGGAUGGCUUCUCUGGGAUGGAUUCUGCAGGUUGAGAAGAGAAAAUGUUCCCGUUUCUCCUGAUGGUGCAGAAGAAAUUGCAGCUCUGGCCACUCAGCUGUUCAUCCUGCUUCUUCCCCUUUUUCUCAAAACUGAGUUUUGAGCACAGUGCAAUAAAGGCAGUCUCAAGGUG